rnacentral:rRNA from 1 species
GUAGGGAGCAAGCGUUGUCCGGAUUUACUGGGCGUAAAGGGUGCGUAGGCGGCUUUGCAAGUCAGAUGUGAAAUCUAUGGGCUCAACCCAUAAACUGCAUUUGAAACUGUAGAGCUUGAGUGAAGUAGAGGCAGGCGGAAUUCCCCGUGUAGCGGUGAAAUGCGUAGAGAUGGGGAGGAACACCAGUGGCGAAGGCGGCCUGCUGGGCUUUAACUGACGCUGAGGCACGAAAGCGUGGGUAGCAAACAGGAUUAGAUACCCUGGUAGUCCACGCUGUAAACGAUGAUUACUAGGUGUGGGGGGUCUGACCCCUUCCGUGCCGGAGUUAACACAAUAAGUAAUCCACCUGGGGAGUACGGCCGCAAGGUUG